GUGCUGGCUUUGGCAGCAUAUACACUAAAAUUGGAACAAUACUGAGAAGAUUAGCAUGGUCUCUGUGCAAUAAUGACAGGCAAAUUCGUGAAGGGUUCCAUAUUUUG